rnacentral:rRNA from 1 species
CUACGGAGGAUGCGAGCGUUAUCCGGAUUUAUUGGGUUUAAAGGGAGCGUAGGCGGGAGCUUAAGUCAGCGGUUAAAUGGUGCGGCUCAACCGUGCCCUGCCGUUGAAACUGGGUUUCUUGAGAGUGCAAGAGGCGGAUGGAAUUCAUGGUGUAGCGGUGAAAUGCUUAGAUAUCAUGAAGAACUCCGAUUGCGAAGGCAGUCCGCUGGGGCACGUCUGACGCUGAUGCUCGAAGGUGCGGGAAUCAAACAGGAUUAGAUACCCUGGUAGUCCGCACGGUAAACGAUGAUUACCCGCUGUCGGCGGCGGACAGUCGGCGGCCAAGCGAAAGCGAUAAGUAAUCCACCUGGGGAGUACGCCGGCAACGGUGAAACUCAAAGGAAUUGACGGGG